rnacentral:misc_RNA from 1 species
UGGUUCUCGCAUCGAUGAAGAACGCAGCGAAAUGCGAUAAGUAAUGUGAAUUGCAGAACAGUGAAUCAUCGAGUCUUUGAACGCAACUUGCGCCCUCUGGUAUUCCGGAGGGCAUGCCUGUCUGAGUGUACCGAUCGAUCACCCCAGGGUGGACUUGGGCUUGCCUCCGGCUCGCCUCAAAUGACGCAGUGACCUCAGGUCUCGUCACGAAAUCUUACACGAAAAGACCUCAGAUCAGGUAGGACUACCCGCUGA